rnacentral:lncRNA from 1 species
CACCUACUACAACUGCAGCUUGACUAAAGAAAUGGUGAUUUAUUUUCCAAAGAUAACUGUAAUGGAUUCACUGAGAAACUGUACAUUGACUUGCCAUGUGGCCCCUUUCUAAAGACUUUUUCAAUAACAAUUUUGAUAUCCUGCAUGUUCCUUUUCUUUCGCCUUGACUUUAAAAUUAAGCCCCUGCAUAAGAUGGUGUGACAGAUAUUUAUUUAUUUAUUUAUUUUUUUACUAUAGUUGCUGCAUCGGCAUUCAUUUCUAGGCCUAACAUGAGUGUUUUGAAACCCAGUAGUACCUUUGGACUAGUUAAAAUUUCCCCUCUCUGUGCAUUUGUUUGUGAGAUAGCCCACUUGCUCCUCAUCCCACUGACAAAACACCAAGACACCUCACAGCUGCUGACCACAAAUAUCCCAAAUGAUCAACACCAGGGUCAUGUAAAUAAAUUCUCCACUUCCCACGUGUUUCUGUAAACUAGCCAAUCCACAACCCCUGAGGGAAAACCUAAGUGUUAUCACACGUGGACCUUAAUAAGGGCAUAGUCCCAAAUGCUUUUAUUGAGAGGUCCACGGGUCGUCUUUUUCUCUCCCCUUACCUGCAGGCUGGGCUCCCUUCCACCUCUUCUCACUGGCCUCCUGUUUGUACCCCUGACCUCUCCGGGAUCGGGAUCCCAACACUGUCUUCUGCAAUGAAAACCCUGAUUUUCUAUAUCUGGACAAAAGACUAGGACAUAACGAGAAUUUUAGCGGAAGGAACUGAGGGAGAGAGAUUGCACAGCAGACAAGGACAAAUAAAGGGAAGGUGGAAACAAGGUCUUGCUAUGUCACCCAGGCUGGAGUGCAGUUGCGCCAUCUCGGAUCACCACAACCUCCACCUCCUGUGUUCAAGUGAUCUGCCUCAGCCUCCCAAGUAGCUGAGAUGACAGACAACCCAAGGCCAUUCCAAGUGCUUUUCCCUAUUUGACUCUUGAAGGGCUGCUGCUGCUGAUAAUCAGAAGAGUCAUCAGUUCUGUUUACCAAAUACUCUUAUUGCUAUAAUUUGGAUGUUUGUCCCAUCAAACCUCGUGUUGAAAUUUGAUCCCCAAUGUUGGAGGCAGGGGGACUAAUGGGAAGUGUUUGGGUCAUGGGAGUGAACUGUUCACGAAUGGAUUGGUGUCAUCCUAUGGUAAUGAGUAUGUUCUCACUCUUAUUCCCGAGAAAGCUGGUUGUUAAAAAAGAGCCUGGCACCUUCCUCUACUUUCUCUCUUGCUUCCUUUCUCACCAUGUGAUAUCUACACACGUCAGCUCCAUUUCACCUUCUGCCAUGAGUGGACGUGGUCUGAGGCCCUCAGCAUAAGCAGAUGCCGGUCCCAUGCUUCUUGUAUGGCCUACAGAACCGAGAACCAAAUAAACUUUAUAAAUUACCCAGCCUCGGGGUUCUUUUAUAGCAACACAAAUGGGCUAAGACACUCUAACGUAACACUCUAUCCUGGAAAUCCUGAGGAAUAAGUAUUGUUACUCUCCUCAUUUUAUACCUUAAGAAAUGGAAGCUGAGUAAAACAAAAUUAUUUGCCAAAGGCCACAGGCUAAAAAUUGUCAUAAAACCAUUGUUAGGAAAGAAUCAAAUCACUUAAGUGCAAUAUUUGUCUUUGCUGUCCGCCCUCCCUCCUUUCUUCCUUUCCUUCAACUGUCUCUCGGUUCUUCUCUGCCUCCUUCCCUCCCAUACCUUUUCCCUUCCCCCUCUCUCUCCCCUUCCUCUCCCUCUCUGCAUGUCUUUCUCUUACAAUGUCUUUCUUGUACUCUCUCUCUCUCUCUCUCUCAGAUGCUCUGUCUCUCUCCUUUCUCUUGCCCUCACUGUCUCCCCUUCUUUCUCUACCAACAUUGACAUUUAGAGUCUUUACCCAAGUAAAGUCUGUCAUAUUCCUAUGAAUUAAGCCAGCUCCACUCUAUUAGAGAAUAUUAGCUAUAUAUCUGAGCUUCAACAAAUUUUGCAUGAAAUGUGAUAUGUGGGAGCUCCAAGUUUGUAACUGCUGUCAAUUUCUUCUGAGAGAACAUCUUUGUUAGGGUGACCAAGAAAUUUAUUGUCCAAAUUGGAAUAUACUCAGAUUAAAAUGAACAAUAAAAAUAAUGAAAAUUAUAUGAUAAAAUAAUUUUGAAAUAUUUACUUAUUAAGUAGGUAUACAGUUAUAUUAAAACAACUUUAAUAUACAUAAUUCCUUCUAAAAAUAAGAAUAAAAAAUUUUAAAAAUAUGGAUUAUAGAAACACUAAUAGUAACAUAUGCAAAAUAAUUAUUCAGGUUCUUAAGGCCAAGUGUGUUUCUUAUAUCAAGUCACUGAUACUUU